UUCCUACGGGAAGCAGCAGUAGGGAAUCUUCCGCAAUGGACGAAAGUCUGACGGAGCAACGCCGCGUGAGUGAUGAAGGUUUUCGGAUCGUAAAACUCUGUUGUUAGGGAAGAACAAGUACCGUUCGAAUAGGGCGGUACCUUGACGGUACCUAACCAGAAAGCCACGGCUAACUACGUGCCAGCAGCCGCGGUAAUACGUAGGUGGCAAGCGUUGUCCGGAAUUAUUGGGCGUAAAGCGCGCGCAGGCGGUCUCUUAAGUCUGAUGUGAAAGCCCCCGGCUCAACCGGGGAGGGUCAUUGGAAACUGGGAGACUUGAGUGCAGAAGAGAAGAGCGGAAUUCCACGUGUAGCGGUGAAAUGCGUAGAGAUGUGGAGGAACACCAGUGGCGAAGGCGGCUCUUUGGUCUGUAACUGACGCUGAGGCGCGAAAGCGUGGGGAGCAAACAGGAUUAGAUACCCUGGUAGUCCACGCCGUAAACGAUGAGUGCUAAGUGUUAGAGGGUUUCCGCCCUUUAGUGCUGCAGCAAACGCAUAAGCACUCCGCCUGGGGAGUACGGCCGCAAGGCUGAAACUCAAAGAAAUUGACGGA
rnacentral:rRNA from 1 species